rnacentral:rRNA from 1 species
CGAAAGCCUGACGGAGCAACGCCGCGUGAGUGAUGAAGGUCUUCGGAUCGUAAAACUCUGUUGUUAGGGAAGAACAAAUUUGUUAGUAACUGAACAAGUCUUGACGGUACCUAACCAGAAAGCCACGGCUAACUACGUGCCAGCAGCCGCGGUAAUACGUAGGUGGCAAGCGUUAUCCGGAAUUAUUGGGCGUAAAGCGCGCGUAGGCGGUUUCUUAAGUCUGAUGUGAAAGCCCACGGCUCAACCGUGGAGGGUCAUUGGAAACUGGGAAACUUGAGUGCAGAAGAGGAGAGUGGAAUUCCAUGUGUAGCGGUGAAAUGCGCAGAGAUAUGGAGGAACACCAGUGGCGAAGGCGGCUCUCUGGUCUGUAACUGACGCUGAUGUGCGAAAGCGUGGGGAUCAAACAGGAUUAGAUACCCUGGUAGUCCACGCCGUAAACGAUGAGUGCUAAGUGUUAGGGGGUUCCCCCUUAAUGCUGCACUAACGCCAUUAAGCACUCCCCUGGGGAGUACGACCAGG